CCUACAAAAACUGAGAUUAUUAAUGCUAGAUUUUGCAUCUGAAGAAACAAAGCCAUGCAGAUUAUAAAUAUUGCACGUAUAACAACACUGGAAUCAGUAGAGUAACACACUACCUGUACUUCUGAGUGUUCAGCAAAAAUUCUGAACCUACUAUAAAAUAAAAACAAUGCAGAAGGGAGGCAGGUGGAAAUAUUUAAAUCUCUCUCUUAAAUAAACAGGAAUGGAGAUAUUUGUAAAGAUUUUAAAUGGAAGUUAAUGUAUGUGAACAACAAUAUAAUGAAAUAUUGCCAACAGACAACCCAUUAAGAAUGAGAUAAGAACAUCAUCAUUAACUGAAGUGGGAGCAAGAUGAGGCUUUGAAGAUAACCCCAUACCAGUCUACUGAAACAAGGCCAAAAUUUGCAGCCUGUCACCCACUGGAGAGAAUUUGGCCCUUUAGGAGCACUGAAACACACUGAGAUCAAGAAAGGGUGGUAACAACGAAGUGUAUGUUCCUCGUGGGAUAUAUGGAGUCAGUAGCAGUGAAUAAAAUGCUACAAUUAAACUAAAUGCAGUAAGCUUCAGCAGGCACAAUUCCUGAUCCUGCAAGAUGCCAAGUACUCUCAAGUCAAGAUCAAGUACUUAGAGCUCUACUACAAAAGAAACAAGCAUAAAAGACAAAAUACUAAACUCAUUACUACGGAACAGGCAUGAAGAGGAGCAUCUCUUCCCUUACCUACAGGAUACUACCAAAUCACUAUUGACUAAAUGGUCAAUUACCCAGGACAUCACUGCAAUAUCAAUUUCCAUCUUUGACUCCCAUUGUCCUACGAAAAUCAAUGACUAUGCCAUCGGUGCAUAUUUGCUUUCCUAUAUGUACUUUGGCACUCCCAUUUCCCAAAACCGCUGAAGCCAGUAAUUGAUAUUACAGUCUGUUCUUUAUGGGAUGCUUAAUAACAAAAUAUGUUUUUAACAAGCCUAGUCAUACUCCAUUGUUUUAGUUAUUUUUUCAUAAAACCAAGUAAUGUUAAGGGAACUACUGAGGAUAAAUCCACGGUUCACAUUCAAAGCAAUGUCUGUUUUACCUGGCAUUGACAAAGAACAGCUUUUCACUUCUAUGACACCAUUCACACAUGGAUUUCAAAGCAUUUUACAAACACCAGUAAAAUCCUGUUGGAGCGUGCCCAGAGGAGGACCACAAAAACGAUCCAAGGGAUGGAACACCUCUGCUAUGAGGACAGGCUGAAAGAGUUGGGGCUGCUCAGCCUGAAGAAGAGAAAGUUCUGAGGUGACCUGAGAGCAUCCUUUAAAUGUCUGAAGGGGAGCUACAGGAAAGAAGGAGACAAACACUCUAGCAAGAUCUGUUGUGACAGAACAAGGGGAAAUGGUUUCAAGCUUAAUGAGGGUAGAUUUAGUUUAGAUAUAAAGUUCUUUACAAUGAAGGUGUUGAGGCAUUGGCACAUCACACAGGUUGUCCAGAGAUGUGGUGGACACCUCACCUCUGGAAACUUUCAAGGCAAGGCUGGAUCAGACCCUAAGCAACCUGAUCGAGCUACACAUGUUGCUGUUCAUUGCAGGGGAGUUGGACUAGAUGACCUUUAAAGAUGUCUUCCAAUUCUAAGGAUUCUAUGAUUCUGUGAUCCCCUAUUUGUAAAUCUAUUGCAGGAGACACAGAAAUCUCAAGUUAAAAUAUGGAGUGAGACACUCAUUAACAGAAUCAAUCGAAAAGCCCCUGAACCCAUAAAAGUCUUUAGCCUUGUGAUAAGUCCUAUUGAAAUUAGACCAUCUGUAAAAACAGGUAGGGAGUUAUCCUUUUACAGUGUGCAUACACCAAGGACACUAAGGUUAGUGUCUGUUCUCAAAUCCAACUUUUAUCAAUGUAACAUCAAUGAAAUAGAAAGAUAGAGAUGUAAAGUACCAGAAAUAUAAUUUUAUGGGAAAAAAAAUUACACAGCCUUUUCUGUGCUACAAGGCAAUUAAUUAGUCCUAUACCCUCCUAGGAAAACUACAAAAUCCUUAAGCACAAAGAAAUUUUAAAGUCUUACAUAGCUUGAGAUCGCUGUACCUCGAGUAAUCUUUCUGGCUUUUAAUAACAUUUCCAUAGAAUUUCAUCAUUCUGGAUCACUGUUGUCGUAGGAGAACUCGCAAAAAAGGACAGAAUAUUGCAAAGAAUUCUCCUCCAAAUUUAGUUCAGCAUGUUUCACUGUAAUGUGCUUUCUGCGGGA
ensembl:lncRNA